CAGCCGUAAACUAUGCUCGCUAGGUGUCAGGCAUGGCGCGACCGUGUCUGGUGCCGCAGGGAAGCCGUGAAGCGAGCCACCUGGGAAGUACGGCCGCAAGGCUGAAACUUAAAGGAAUUGGCGGGGGGAGCACAACAACAGGUGGAGCCUGCGGUUUAAUUGGACUCAACGCCGGACAACUCACCGGGGACGACAGCAAUAUGUAGGCCAGGCUGAAGACCUUGCCUGAAUCGCUGAGAGGAGGUGCAUGGCGUAGACGUCU
rnacentral:rRNA from 1 species